UACGAAGGACCCGAGCGUUAUCCGGAUUUAUUGGGUUUAAAGGGUGCGUAGGCGGAUUUAUAAGUCAGUGGUGAAAGCCUAUAGCUUAACUAUAGAAUUGCCAUUGAUACUGUAGGUCUUGAGUACAGUUGAGGUGGGCGGAAUGUGCAGUGUAGCGGUGAAAUGCUUAGAUAUUGCACAGAACACCAAUUGCGAAGGCAGCUCGCUAAGCUGUAACUGACGCUGAGGCACGAAAGUGUGGGUAGCAAACAGU
rnacentral:rRNA from 1 species